rnacentral:rRNA from 1 species
UCCACGGAUUCCGUGACGCAGCUAACGCAUUAAGUUCCCCGCCUGGGGAGUACGGCCGCAAGGCUAAAACUCAAAGGAAUUGACGGGGACCCGCACAAGCGGCGGAGCAUGCGGAUUAAUUCGAUGCAACGCGAAGAACCUUACCAAGGCUUGACAUACACGAGAACACCCUAGAAAUAGGGGACUCUUUGGACACUCGUGAACAGGUGGUGCAUGGUUGUCGUCAGCUCGUGUCGUGAGAUGUUGGGUUAAGUCCCGCAACGAGCGCAACCCUCGUUCUAUGUUGCCAGCACGUAAUGGUGGGAACUCAUGGGAUACUGCCGGGGUCAACUCGGAGGAAGGUGGGGAUGACGUCAAAUCAUCAUGCCCCUUAUGUCUUGGGCUUCACGCAUGCUACAAUGGCCGGUACAAAGGGCUGCAAUACCGUGAGGUGGAGCGAAUCCCAAAAAGCCGGUCCCAGUUCGGAUUGAGGUCUGCAACUCGACCUCAUGAAGUCGGAGUCGCUAGUAAUCGCAGAUCAGCAACGCUGCGGUGAAUACGUUCCCGGGUCUUGUACACACCGCCCGUCAAGUCAUGAAAGUCGGUAACACCUGAAGCCGGUGGCCCAACCCUUGUGGAGGGAGCCGUCGAAGGUGGGAUCGGUAAUUAGGACUAAGUC